rnacentral:rRNA from 1 species
UACGGAGGGAGCUAGCGUUGUUCGGAAUUACUGGGCGUAAAGCGCGCGUAGGCGGCCUUGCAAGUUAGACGUGAAAGCCCGGAGCUCAACUCCGGAACUGCCUUUAAAACUGCAUAGCUUGAAUCCGGGAGAGGUGAGUGGAAUUCCGAGUGUAGAGGUGAAAUUCGUAGAUAUUCGGAAGAACACCAGUGGCGAAGGCGGCUCACUGGACCGGUAUUGACGCUGAGGUGCGAAAGCGUGGGGAGCAAACAGG